CGGCGGACGGGUGAGUAACGCGUGGGCAACCUGCCUUACACAGGGGGAUAACAGUUAGAAAUGACUGCUAAUACCGCAUAAGACCCCAGAACCGCAUGGUUCUGAGGUAAAAACUCCGGUGGUGUAAGAUGGGCCCGCGUCUGAUUAGGUAGUUGGUGAGGUAACGGCCCACCAAGGCGACGAUCAGUAGCCGGACUGAGAGGUUGGCCGGCCACAUUGGGACUGAGACACGGCCCAGACUCCUACGGGAGGCAGCAG
rnacentral:rRNA from 1 species